CCAAUAGCGUAUAUUAAAGUUGUUGCAGUUAAAAAGCUCGUAGUUGAAUUUCGGGGUUAGUAGGCUGGUCGUGCCACAGGUAUGCACUGGUCUUACUGACUUCUCCUUUCUGAAGAACUGUAAUGCCAUUAAUUUGGUGUUGCAGGGAAACAGGACUGUUACUUUGAAAAAAUUAGAGUGUUUAAAGCAGGCUAACGCUUGAAUACAUUAGCAUGGAAUAAUGAAAUAGGACGUUCGAUCCUAUUUUGUUGGUUUCUAGGAUUGACGUAAUGAUUAAUAGGGAUAGUUGGGGGCAUUAGUAUUCAAUUGUCAGAGGUGAAAUUCUUGGAUUUAUUGAAGACUAACUACUGCGAAAGCAUUUGCCAAGGAUGUUUUCAUUAAUCAAGAACGAAAGUUAGGGGAUCGAAGACGAUCAGAUACCGUCGUAGUCUUAACCAUAAACUAUGCCGACUAGGGAUCGGAUGAUGUUAAUUUUUUAAUGACUCAUUCGGCGCCUUACG
rnacentral:rRNA from 1 species